rnacentral:rRNA from 1 species
GGGGAGUGGCAGACGGGUGAGUAACGCGUGGGAACAUACCCUUUCCUGCGGAAUAGCUCCGGGAAACUGGAAUUAAUACCGCAUACGCCCUACGGGGGAAAGAUUUAUCGGGGAAGGAUUGGCCCGCGUUGGAUUAGCUAGUUGGUGGGGUAAAGGCCUACCAAGGCGACGAUCCAUAGCUGGUCUGAGAGGAUGAUCAUCCACAUUGGGACUGAGACACGGCCCAAACUCCUACGGGAGGCAGCAGUGGGGAAUAUUGGACAAUGGGCGCAAGCCUGAUCCAGCCAUGCCGCGUGAGUGAUGAAGGCCUUAGGGUUGUAAAGCUCUUUCACCGAUGAAGAUAAUGACGGUAGUCGGAGAAGAAGCCCCGGCUAACUUCGUGCCAGCAGCCGCGGUAAUACGAAGGGGGCUAGCGUUGUUCGGAAUUACUGGGCGUAAAGCGCACGUAGGCGGAUAUUUAAGUCAGGGGUGAAAUCCCGCAGCUCAACUGCGGAACUGCCUUUGAUACUGGGUAUCUUGAGUAUGGAAGAGGUAAGUGGAA